ACGGGUGGCGCAAUGGGAUCAG
rnacentral:miRNA from 1 species